GAUGCUCCUAAAGUAAUUGUCAGGUCUCCUGAAAAGUUUGCAGCUUUACCGACAUUGAGUAAAAGGAUGAGGAGCAAGAUAAAAUUAAACAAGGAAAAAUUUGCAUCGAGCAAUUCAAUACUUGAUAUAGGAUGUGCCGAUAAAAUCUGUUGUCACUGUGGGGCUUUGAUGUGGAGGUUUGAGCAAACAGAGAAGGAAUGCCAGUUGAAAUCAGAUAAGUUUUCUUUGUGUUGUGGCAAUGGAAAGGUACGCUUGCCACUAUUACGAGAGACUCCCUUUGAGUUGAAAAUAUUACUAGAUCGGAGUAAUCCUAAAAGAACUAUGUUCCAAAAUAACAUCCGGAUGUACAACAACGCAUUCGGAUUUACUUCUGUUGGAGCUAAUAUGGAUAAAAGUAUUAAGAACGGGCGUGGACCUUUUGUUUAUCGUAUUCAUGGUGUACUUUACCAUCAGAUAGGUUCACUGUUUGCUAAAGAAUCCAA